AUGAACGCUGGCGGCGUGCCUAAUACAUGCAAGUCGAACGAGUUCUCGUUGAUGAUCGGUGCUUGCACCGAGAUUCAACAUGGAACGAGUGGCGGACGGGUGAGUAACACGUGGGUAACCUGCCCUUAAGUGGGGGAUAACAUUUGGAAACAGAUGCUAAUACCGCAUAGAUCCAAGAACCGCAUGGUUCUUGGCUGAAAGAUGGCGUAAGCUAUCGCUUUUGGAUGGACCCGCGGCGUAUUAGCUAGUUGGUGAGGUAAUGGCUCACCAAGGCGAUGAUACGUAGCCGAACUGAGAGGUUGAUCGGCCACAUUGGGACUGAGACACGGCCCAAACUCCUACGGGAGGCAGCAGUAGGGAAUCUUCCACAAUGGACGCAAGUCUGAUGGAGCAACGCCGCGGGAGUGAAGAAGGCUUUCGGGUCGUAAAACUCUGUUGUUGGAGAAGAAUGGUCGGCAGAGUAACUGUUGUCGGCGUGACGGUAUCCAACCAGAAAGCCACGGCUAACUACGUGCCAGCAGCCGCGGUAAUACGUAGGUGGCAAGCGUUAUCCGGAUUUAUUGGGCGUAAAGCGAGCGCAGGCGGUUUUUUAAGUCUGAUGUGAAAGCCCUCGGCUUAACCGAGGAAGCGCAUCGGAAACUGGGAAACUUGAGUGCAGAAGAGGACAGUGGAACUCCAUGUGUAGCGGUGAAAUGCGUAGAUAUAUGGAAGAACACCAGUGGCGAAGGCGGCUGUCUGGUCUGUAACUGACGCUGAGGCUCGAAAGCAUGGGUAGCGAACAGGAUUAGAUACCCUGGUAGUCCAUGCCGUAAACGAUGAAUGCUAGGUGUUGGAGGGUUUCCGCUCUUCAGUGCCGCAGCUAACGCAUUAAGCAUUCCGCCUGGGGAGUACGACCGCAAGGUUGAAACUCAAAGGAAUUGACGGGGGCCCGCACAAGCGGUGGAGCAUGUGGUUUAAUUCGAAGCAACGCGAAGAACCUUACCAGGUCUUGACAUCUUUUGAUCACCUGAGAGAUCAGGUUUCCCCUUCGGGGGCAAAAUGACAGGUGGUGCAUGGUUGUCGUCAGCUCGUGUCGUGAGAUGUUGGGUUAAGUCCCGCAACGAGCGCAACCCUUAUGACUAGUUGCCAGCAUUUAGUUGGGCACUCUAGUAAGACUGCCGGUGACAAACCGGAGGAAGGUGGGGAUGACGUCAAAUCAUCAUGCCCCUUAUGACCUGGGCUACACACGUGCUACAAUGGAUGGUACAACGAGUUGCGAGACCGCGAGGUCAAGCUAAUCUCUUAAAGCCAUUCUCAGUUCGGACUGUAGGCUGCAACUCGCCUACACGAAGUCGGAAUCGCUAGUAAUCGCGGAUCAGCACGCCGCGGUGAAUACGUUCCCGGGCCUUGUACACACCGCCCGUCACACCAUGAGAGUUUGUAACACCCGAAGCCGGUGGCGUAACCCUUUUAGGGAGCGAGCCGUCUAAGGUGGGACAAAUGAUUAGGGUG
rnacentral:rRNA from 1 species